rnacentral:rRNA from 1 species
UUUAAUUGAUGACUUGUAUGAAGGAUUGGAUGAAAUAUAGACUGUCUCUUAGUUAAAUAUAGAAUUUAAUUUUUUAAUUAAAAAGUUAAAAUAAUUUAAAAAGACGAGAAGACCCUAUAGAGUUUUAUAAAUAAAUUAAUUGAGAUUAUUUAUUAAAUAAAAAUUAAAAUUAAGUUGUUUAUUAUAUUGGGGUGAUAGAAAAAUGUAAUUAACUUUUUUUUUAUAUGUGAAAACAUUUAUAAGUGAUUAUAUGAUCCAAUAUUAUUGAUUAUAAGAAAAAAUUACCUUAGGGAUAACAGCGUAAUUUUUUUUUUUAGUUCAUAUAAGAAAAAGAGUUUGCGACCUCGAUGUUGGAUUAAGAUAAAAUUUAAAUGCAGAAG